rnacentral:rRNA from 1 species
CCUACGGGAGGCAGCAGUAGGGAAUCUUCCACAAUGGACGAAAGUCUGAUGGAGCAACGCCGCGUGAGUGAUGAAGGUUUUCGGAUCGUAAAACUCUGUUGUAAGGGAAGAACAAGUACGAGAGGGAAUGCUCGUACCUUGACGGUACCUUGCGAGAAAGCCACGGCUAACUACGUGCCAGCAGCCGCGGUAAUACGUAGGUGGCAAGCGUUGUCCGGAAUUAUUGGGCGUAAAGCGCGCGCAGGCGGCCUUUUAAGUCUGAUGUGAAAGCCCCCGGCUCAACCGGGGAGGGUCAUUGGAAACUGGAAGGCUUGAGUACAGAAGAGAAGAGUGGAAUUCCAUGUGUAGCGGUGAAAUGCGUAGAGAUGUGGAGGAACACCAGUGGCGAAGGCGACUCUUUGGUCUGUAACUGACGCUGAGGCGCGAAAGCGUGGGGAGCAAACAGGAUUAGAUACCCUGGUAGUCCACGCCGUAAACGAUGAGUGCUAGGUGUUGGGGGGUUUCCGCCCCUUCAGUGCUGAAGCUAACGCAUUAAGCACUCCGCCUGGGGAUACGGCCGCAAGGCUGAAACUCAAAGGAAUUGACGGCNGAGAGAGCGACGACGACGACGAGGGAGGAGG